rnacentral:rRNA from 1 species
UGGGGAAUAUUGGACAAUGGGCGAAAGCCUGAUCCAGCCAUGCCGCGUGUGUGAAGAAGGUCUUCGGAUUGUAAAGCACUUUAAGUUGGGAGGAAGGGCAUUAACCUAAUACGUUAGUGUUUUGACGUUACCGACAGAAUUAAGCACCGGCUAACUCUGUGC